CCUACGGGAGGCAGCAGUGAGGAAUAUUGGUCAAUGGCCGAAAGGCUGAACCAGCCAAGUCGCGUGAGGGAAGAAGGUCCUAUGGAUUGUAAACCUCUUUUGUCAGGGAGCAAAGUCACCCCCGAGAGCCUGACGGAGAGUACCUGAAGAAAAAGCAUCGGCUAACUCCGUGCCAGCAGCCGCGGUAAUACGGAGGAUGCGAGCGUUAUCCGGAUUUAUUGGGUUUAAAGGGUGCGUAGGCGGAACAUUAAGUCAGCGGUAAAAUCGAGGGGCUCAACGCCAUCAAGCCGUUGAAACUGGUGAUCUUGAGUUGGCGAGAAGUAUGCGGAAUGCGUGGUGUAGCGGUGAAAUGCAUAGAUAUCACGCAGAACUCCGAUUGCGAAGGCAGCAUACCGGCGCCCGACUGACGCUGAGGCACGAAAGCGUGGGUAUCGAACAGGAUUAGAUACCCGGGUAGUC
rnacentral:rRNA from 1 species